GUUUGUGGGAGAAGGUGAGCACGACCUCUUACUCCUCUGCCAUCUUGCUCCUCCUCCCCUGCUUUUUUUUUUUUAAAGUGUAGAUUCCCUUCCUUUACUUUGGGAUAGUCCUCAUUAAUUAAUGUUAUCCCUAUUUCAUUAGCCUGAAUAAAAAUCAUUUCCUUAAUUGAUGCAUUUUAUCUUUCACAGAGGAUUACAUAAUAUAUGAAAAUACUGAAAUACUGAAUUACUGAAAUUAAGUUAAAUACUGAAGCUUCUCUGAUACACAGUAAGGUAUCAAUAAAGGUUACAAUAUUAAUAUGGAAAAGGUAAACCUCACUAAUAUACCAUUAGGUAUCUAUUAGAAUGACUAAAUCAAAAAACAUAACAAGUCCAAAUGUUGGCAGGAAUGUGGAGUAAUUAGAAGUCUCAUACAUUACUAGAGUUCCCAUCAUGGCUCAAUGUCUAAUGAAUCUGACUAGGAAUCAUGAGGUUGUGGGUACGACCCCUGGCCUUGCUCAGUGGGUUAAGGAUCCGGCAUUGACCUGAGCUGUGGUGUAGGUUGCAGAUGCAGCUCAGAACCCGUGUUUCCGUGGCUGUAGAAUAGGCCGGUGGCUAUGGCUCCAAAUAGACCCCUGGCCUGGGAACCUCCAUAUGCCAUGGGUGUGGCCCUAGAAAAGGCAAAAAGACAAAAAACAAUAAAAUAAAUAAAAUAAAAGGGGUUAUGGAAAUGGGAAAGAAAACUCUAAGGGUGCAUACUACAUGAUUUCCUUUAUAUGACAUUAUCACAAAUGCAAAACAGUAGGGAGAGAAAACAGAUUAGUAGCUGCUGGAAGCUAGGAUGAUAGUUGAAUAUAAAUGCAAAUGAGGGAAUUUUUUUAAGGUGAUAGGACUUUCCUAGAUCUUCAUUUUGGUGUUAGUUACGAGACUAUUCAUUUUUGAAAAUUCAUAGAACUGUAUACUUUCAAGGGGGAAUUCUUUUAUAUUUAAGUUAUAUCUCAAUAAACCUCACCCCUAAAAAGAGAUAGUACUUCUUGCAUGCAAGAUGUUGUAAAACCUCUUCAUUGCAAAGCAACAAGUUCCCCCUCAAAGACUACCCCUGAUCUCUUCUACUGGCUGCCAGGCUAAUAAUUAAGGUUAAAUCAUACUAGGAUUGAUAAGGUUGCAUGUGUAACUGGGUCACCAGGCUGUACAGUAGAAAAAAUACAUAUAUCUAUGUAAAUAAAUGAUAAAAAAAGAUGGUAAAAAAAAGGUUGGAAAGAGAUGUACACCCCCAAGAAGCAGAAAGGAUUCUGUAACAUACACUGGCAAGAACCAGAGGAAUAAGAGCUAAUGAUGUUGAAUAUCUUUUUAGACCUUUUUUUUUUAUAUAUCUGUAUAUCCUCAUCAGUGAAAUGUUUGUUCCUAUGUUUUGGCCAUUUUCUAAUUGGUUUUUUUUAUAACUACUGAGCUUUUGAGAGUUCUUUACGUGUGUUAGUGCGUGCGUGUGUGUGUGUGUGUAUUUAGAUCUGUAUGCUUUCCUGGUAUGUUGAUCCACUUAUUACUGUUAUGUCCUUAUUUGUUUAAUUUUCUUUUUCUGAAGUCUACUUUAAAAUUAAUAUACCUACUUCUGUUAUUUUUGAUUAAUGUUUUCUGGGCAUAUCUUUUUCCAACAUUUUUUUUACUUUAAAUCUACCUAUGUUGUUGUGUAUUAAGUGAAUUUCUUGUAAACAGUAUAUUGCUGUACCAUUUUACUUUAAUCCUGCUGCCAAACUGUCUUUUAAAUGAUGAAUUCAGGUCAUUUACUUUUAAGAAAAUUAUUGAUAUGUUAAGACUUAAGCCUUGUCAUUUUACUAUCUAUUUUCUGUUUGUUUGCUUGGGUUCUUAUUCCUCUAUUCCCUUCCUGUGAGUUAUUUGGACACAUAGGGGGAUUCCAUCUUGAUUUAUUUGUACUGUUAUAUUUUAUUCUUUAUUAAUGGUGUUUUUAAAAAAUUAUUUUUAAUUCAUUUUUUAUUAUAGUUGAUUUACAGUGCUGUGCCAAUUUCUGCUAUACAGAAAAGUGACUCAGUUAUACAUUUAUAUACAUUCUUUUUCUUUUCAUACUAUCUUUCAUCAUGGUCUAUCUCAAGAUACUGGAUAUUGUUCCCUGUGCUAUACAGUAGGACCACUUUGAUUAUCCAUUCUAAAUGUAAUAGUUUGCACCUACCCACCCCAAAUUCCCUGCCCAUCCCACUUCCUCCCCCUCAUGCUUGGCAACCACAAGUCUGUUCUCUAUGUUUGUGAGUCUGUUUCUGUUUUGUAGAUAAGUUUAUUUGUAUCAUAUUUUAGAUUGCACACAUAAGUGAUGUCAUAUGGUAUUUGCUUUCUCUUUUUGACUUACUUCAGUUAGUAUGAGAAAUAAACUAUUUAAAAAAACACAGAAUGGGAGAAAAUCUUUGCAAAUGAUGCAACUGACAAGGGCCUAAGCUCUAAAACAAGUCAUAAAACUCAACCACAACAAAAAGACAAACAAUACAAUAAAAAAAAUGGGCAGAAGACCUAAACAGACAUUAGUCUAAAGAAGAUACAAAUAGGCACAUAAAAAGAUGCUCGACAUCACUAAUUAUUAGAGAAAUGCAAAUCAAAACUUGAUUGAGGUACUACUUCACAUUGGUCAGAAUUGGCCAUCAUCAAAAUGUCUACAAAUAACUAAUUCUAGAGAGGGUGUGGAGAAAAGGGAAGCCUUCUUCACUGUUGGUGGGAAUGGAAAUUUGUACAACGACUGUGGAAAACAGUAUGGAAGCUCCUCAGAAAACUUAAAAAAAUAGAGAACUACCAUAUGAUCCAGCAAUUCCACUCAUGGGCAUAUUUCUGGACAAAACUAGAAUUUGAAAAAAAUACAUAGACCCCUAUGUUCUUUGCAGCACUAUUCACAAUAGCCAAGACAUGGAAAAAACCUAAAUGUCCAUCAACAGAUGAAUGGAUUAAGAACAUGUGAUACAUAUAUACCAUGGAAUAAUAUUUUGCCAUAAAAUGAAUGAAAUAAUGGCAUUUGCAGCAACAUGGAUGCAACUAUUCUGUUUUAAAAUAUAUUACUUUGUAUAAUAUCUUUGGUGGUUGCUCUACGUAUUACAAGACACAUAUGUAACUUAUUACAAACCACUCUUUUUUUUUUUUUUUUUUUUUUUUUGUUGUUGUUGUUGUCUUUUGGCUAUUUCUUCGGGCCGCUUCUGUGGCAUAUGGAGGUUCCCAGGCUAGGGGUCGAAUCGGAGCUGUAGCCACUGGCCUACGCCAGAGCCACAGCAACGCAGGAUCCGAGCCGCGUCUGCAACCUACACCACAGCUCACGGCAACGCCGGAUCGUUAACCCACUGAGCAAGGGCAGGGACCGAACCCGNNNNNNNNNNNNNNNNNNNNNNNNNNNNNNNNNNNNNNNNNNNNNNNNNNNNNNNNNNNNNNNNNNNNNNNNNUUUUUUUUUUUUUUUUUUUUUUUUGACAAACCACUCUUAUCAACAUUUUACCACUUGAAGUAAAGAUAAAAACCUAGCUUCCACUUACAUCCUUUUAGACCCACCACUUUUCAAAUAUAUUUGUCUUGAAUAUUUCCCAUGUAUUUGAGCAUCACACUAAAUGGUGUCAUAUCUUUUGCUUCAAUCUUCAAA
rnacentral:lncRNA from 1 species